rnacentral:rRNA from 1 species
UGAUCCUGGCUCAGGACGAACGCUGGCGGCGUGCUUAACACAUGCAAGUCGAACGGUGAUGUCAGAGCUUGCUCUGGCGGAUCAGUGGCGAACGGGUGAGUAACACGUGAGUAACCUGCCCCCGACUCUGGGAUAACUGCUAGAAAUGGUAGCUAAUACCGGAUAUGAYGAUUGGCCGCAUGGUCUGGUCGUGGAAAGAAUUUCGGUUGGGGAUGGACUCGCGGCCUAUCAGGUUGUUGGUGAGGUAAUGGCUCACCAAGCCUACGACGGGUAGCCGGCCUGAGAGGGUGACCGGCCACACUGGGACUGAGACACGGCCCAGACUCCUACGGGAGGCAGCAGUGGGGAAUAUUGCACAAUGGGCGCAAGCCUGAUGCAGCAACGCCGCGUGAGGGAUGACGGCCUUCGGGUUGUAAACCUCUUUUAGUAGGGAAGAAGCGAAAGUGACGGUAC